AGACCAAAAAAAAAAGAAAAAAGAAAAAAAUAUAUUUGCGGUUUUCAGGCUUCCUGGAGGUAAUACCCGGGUAUUAGGUUAUGGGGCUUAGGAAAGGUUUAAGGUUUUUGGAUAGGGUAAAAAUAACUGUCCAAAACCUUUUUAGGAACAUGUUUCAGACCUUUUGCAGUUGGUUAAACCAAAAAAAAAUGUAAAAUGAAAAAAAAUAUUUGGGGUGUUCGGGCUUCCUGAAGGACCUAUUAGGUUAUGGGACUAUGGUAAGGUUUAAGGUUUUUGGCGUUAGGGCGAAAAUCACUGUCCAAAACCUUUGUAGGAACUCUUUUCCAACCUUUUGGAGUUAGUUAGACCAAAAAAAAAGAAAAAAGGAAAAAAAAAUAUUUGGGGUUUUCGGGCUUCCUGAAGGCAUUAGGUUAUGGGGCUUUGGAAAGGCUUAAGGUUUUUGGCGUUAGGAUUAAAAUCAAUGUCCAAAACCUUUUUAGGAAAAUGUUUCAGACCUUUUGGAGUUAGUUACACCAAAAAAAAUGUAAAAUGAAAAAAAAAUAUUUGGGGUGUUCGGGCUUCCUGAACGUAAUACAUGGGUAUUAGGUUUUGGGGCUAGGGAAAGGUUUAAG